rnacentral:rRNA from 1 species
CUCUUCGAUGUUCUGGGCUGCACGCGCGCUACAGUGGCACAGACAGAGAGCAUGAAUUAAUUAUAGAGUCGCAUCGAGGGAUGUGACGAAUCAGCAAUCGUUGUCGUGAUUGGGAUUGAGCGUUGUAAUAUUUGCUCAUGAAAGAGGAAUUCCUCGUAAGCGCGAGUCACUAACUCGUGUUAAUUACGUCUCUGCCCUUUGUACACACCGCCCGUCGCUACUACCGAUUGAACUGGUUUUUGAAGUGUAGAGAUUGGCAGGCAUGGUUUACGUGCAUUGCAAAGAACCACUCUGAAAAAAUCGUUCGAGAAGAAGUAAAAGUCGUAACA